UGUUGAGGAUUGCUGGGGGAGGAGUCCCUCGUCGACUAAUUAAGGGAUUGAUCAUAGGUUUAUAAGGAAAUACAUUUUC